rnacentral:tRNA from 1 species
GUUAAGGUGGCAGAGCCCGGUAAUUGCAAAAGACCUAAGCCCUUUUUACAGGGGUUCAAACCCCCUCCUUAACU